rnacentral:rRNA from 1 species
UAAUCCGACCUAGGCUCAUCUGAUAGCGCAAGGCCCGAAGGUCCCCUGCUUUCUCCCGUAGGACGUAUGCGGUAUUAGCGUCCGUUUCCGAGCGUUAUCCCCCACUACCAGGCAGAUUCCUAGGCAUUACUCACCCGUCCGCCGCUGAAUUCAGGAGCAAGCUCCUGUCAUCCGCUCGACUUGCAUGUGUUAGGCCUGCCGCCAGCGUUCAAUCUGAGCCAGGAUCAAACUCU